rnacentral:rRNA from 1 species
AACGUAGGUUCCGAGCGUUAUCCGGAUUUACUGGGCGUAAAGCGCGUUCAGGCGGUUUGGCAAGUCGGGCAUGAAAUCCCUCGGCUCAACCGGGGAACUGCGUCCGAUACUGGUGGGCUCGAAUCCGGGAGAGGGAGGUGGAAUUCCAGGUGUAGCGGUGAAAUGCGUAGAUAUCUGGAGGAACACCGGUGGCGAAGGCGGCAGCCUGGACCGGUAUUGACGCUGAGGCGCGAAAGCCAGGGGAGCAAACGGG